rnacentral:lncRNA from 1 species
UUUGUAUCAAACAGGGUGAUCUAAGUUAGGCUGUGGUUACAAUCACCAAAUCUUACUGACUGUAUUUGUGUUUGCUGACUGUAUUUGUAGUUUAAACCAAAAAUUUUAUUUCUCCUUCCCUCUAGAUGUUCUAUGCAGGUCAGCUGGGAUCAUGUUCCUGCUUUGUCAUCAUCCUCACUCCAAGAUUCAAGAUAACAGAGCUACCACUGCCUGGAAUAUCACUGGUCACAAUGACACAGGAAAACCACCCACUGCUUCUUAAAGCUUUUGCCUGCUCUGGACAAAGUCUUCAGUCUGUGAGCUGGCUUUAGAGAAGCAGCCUAGGGCCAGGAAACCAGGAUCGAACCGCAGACCAGAAGUUCUAAUGAGUUUGCUGCAAGUAUUUAUUCUGGGGUCACAGCCAGUGUUCAGAACCAGAAGUCACAGAGUUAACCAAGCCAAGGCCCAAGAUCUAAGCCAAGAGUUGGAGCCAAGGCCAUGGGCAAAGCCAAGAAUCAGUCACAGGAUUAGCACAUCAGAACAAGCCCCAGAACUGCUGCUGAACCCGAGGUCCUCCCCCAGGCCCUGCAUCCUUCAGAGGCAUUCUCUGCCCAUGGGCUUGCACUCCCAGAGGAACACAGUCUACAAGAUCUAGCAUCAUACUUAUUUGGAAUACACUGGAUGUAAGAAAAAAGAAGAAUGUCCAAUGCCAACACUAUUGUUAACAUUAUAUAAAAGGUACUAACCAAGAGAAAUAUAAGAGAAUGAAAAUGAGAGUUAAAAACGUACCUAGGCAUAACUAAAACAAAAAAAAAAAGUGCAAGACCCAUGUGAAGAAACCAUUGUAAAUGCUACUGAAGGACAAAAAUGAAGACUUGAAUUAAUGGGAAAACCUACCUCGGACUAGAAGACCCAACAUCAUAAAGAGGACAAUUUGUUUGAAAUUAUCUCAUACAUUUUUUAUACAGCCCUCCCAAAAAUUACAAUGAGUUUUUGUGUUGUUUUUGUUUAUUUUGCUUUUUCUCAUUUUAAGAACUAGACAAGAUAAUUGAAAAAUUUGUAUGGAAAAAAAACAUACCUACAAUAAUAUCCAAGAAAACCCUGAUAUAGAAAAGCAAUAGAGGUAGAUUGGCUCUAACAUAUUAAAAUUUAUUCUAAAUUCGUAAUAAUUAAUAGUAUGUUAAUAUCACAUUAAUACCAAUAGACUAAUAAAAUAUUAUAACAA